rnacentral:piRNA from 1 species
UGCAGGAAAGCAUUCGUGGG